GUCGAGCGGUAGCACAGAGAGCUUGCUCUCGGGUGACGAGCGGCGGACGGGUGAGUAAUGUCUGGGAAACUGCCUGAUGGAGGGGGAUAACUACUGGAAACGGUAGCUAAUACCGCAUAAUGUCGCAAGACCAAAGUGGGGGACCUUCGGGCCUCAUGCCAUCAGAUGUGCCCAGAUGGGAUUAGCUAGUAGGUGGGGUAAUGGCUCACCUAGGCGACGAUCCCUAGCUGGUCUGAGAGGAUGACCAGCCACACUGGAACUGAGACACGGUCCAGACUCCUACGGGAGGCAGCAGUGGGGAAUAUUGCACAAUGGGCGCAAGCCUGAUGCAGCCAUGCCGCGUGUGUGAAGAAGGCCUUCGGGUUGUAAAGCACUUUCAGCGGGGAGGAAGGCGAUAAGGUUAAUAACCUUGGCGAUUGACGUUACCCGCAGAAGAAGCACCGGCUAACUCCGUGCCAGCAGCCGCGGUAAUACGGAGGGUGCAAGCGUUAAUCGGAAUUACUGGGCGUAAAGCGCACGCAGGCGGUCUGUCAAGUCGGAUGUGAAAUCCCCGGGCUCAACCUGGGAACUGCAUUCGAAACUGGCAGGCUAGAGUCUUGUAGAGGGGGGUAGAAUUCCAGGUGUAGCGGUGAAAUGCGUAGAGAUCUGGAGGAAUACCGGUGGCGAAGGCGGCCCCCUGGACAAAGACUGACGCUCAGGUGCGAAAGCGUGGGGAGCAAACAGGAUUAGAUACCCUGGUAGUCCACGCCGUAAACGAUGUCGAUUUGGAGGUUGUGCCCUUGAGGCGUGGCUUCCGGAGCUAACGCGUUAAAUCGACCGCCUGGGGAGUACGGCCGCAAGGUUAAAACUCGAAUGAAUUGACGGGGGCCCGCACAAGCGGUGGAGCAUGUGGUUUAAUUCGAUGCAACGCGAAGAACCUUACCUGGUCUUGACAUCCACAGAACUUUCCAGAGAUGGAUUGGUGCCUUCGGGAACUGUGAGACAGGUGCUGCAUGGCUGUCGUCAGCUCGUGUUGUGAAAUGUUGGGUUAAGUCCCGCAACGAGCGCAACCCUUAUCCUUUGUUGCCAGCGGUUAGGCCGGGAACUCAAAGGAGACUGCCAGUGAUAAACUGGAGGAAGGUGGGGAUGACGUCAAGUCAUCAUGGCCCUUACGACCAGGGCUACACACGUGCUACAAUGGCAUAUACAAAGAGAAGCGACCUCGCGAGAGCAAGCGGACCUCAUAAAGUAUGUCGUAGUCCGGAUUGGAGUCUGCAACUCGACUCCAUGAAGUCGGAAUCGCUAGUAAUCGUAGAUCAGAA
rnacentral:rRNA from 1 species